GCCUAGCCCUAAACAUAAACAGUUAAUUUACAGUAAUUGUUCGCCAGGGAACAACGAGCCCCAGCUUAAAACCCAAAGGACUUGGCGGUGCUUUAGACCCCCCUAGAGGAGCCUGUUCUAGAACCGAUACUCCCCGUUUAACCUCACCCCCUCUUGUUAUUACCGCCUGUAUACCGCCGUCGUCAGCUCACCCUAUGAAGGAUAAAUCGUAAGCAAAAUUGGUAAAACCUAAAACGUCAGGUCGAGGUGCAGCAUACGAGGGGGGAAGAAAUGGGCUACAUUUCCUGAACCAGCAAACACGAAUGCUGUGCUGAAAUAAACAUCUGAAGGAGGAUUUAGCAGUAAGGAGGGAACAGAGUGCCCCCCUGAAAACGGCCCUGAAGCGCGC
rnacentral:rRNA from 1 species